ACUCACAAACCAUGAAAUCAUGACCUGAGCUGAAACCAAGAGUUGGACACUUAACUGACUGAGCCACCCAGGCAUCCCAAUGCUUUUGUUUCUGUCUUCUAGGUCUGCUUUCACAUUUUCAUAUUUACCCCUUCCUAUACCUUCUAGAAAAGUUCCUCUACCUGAUGUUUCAGUGUAAUCAUUCUCGGCCGAGAUCCAUAUUACUACAUAACCCAUUUAUUGAAUUACUUACUUCAACCAUUAUAUUUUUCAUAGUAUUUUGAAUUGGUUAUUCAUGAUUUAUUAUCCUGCUUUAACCCAUUUGGGAGAUUUUGUCCCUCCUGGGGACAUUUGGCAAUAUAUAGAGAUGUUUUUGGUCGCCACAGUUCACGGUGGUGCUGCUGGCAUCUAACCUGUAGAAGCCAGGGAUGCUGCUAAACUUCCCACAAUUCACAAGACAGCCCCAUCCCACCACAGCAAAGAAUUAUCUGGCCAAAAUGUCAAUAGUGCCCAAAUAGACAACCCGUGAUGUAACCAAUAUGAACUCCUUUCUUUUGGGGGAUAUUAUUUAUUUAAAUUUUCAUCUGAUGCACUUAAUCUGUUUUAACUAGUCUAAACUCUUCAGUUUCUCACUUCAAUGUGAGUUGCACCUGCUAUAUCUCAUUACUUUUCUCGAUUAAUUUGUAUUUCAGUGGCGCUAUAAGCUACCUUGGCUAAUAUGUAUACCCAGAGGGAGAGGCAGAAGCCCAGCAUUGGAAAAAGACCUCAUCCUGAGGCUAUCCAGGUGUCUUCAACCUCCAGUCAUCUCUUCAGCAUACAAAAAGACACUUAUUACUUAAGAGAUUCCAUAGAUUUUGUGCCUUAUGUGCUGGGGGUGGGGGGGACCCACAGAGGCCAAAUGGAUAUUUCUCAUUAAGUCACAAAUAGUUUUACUAUGUCCUUUCCAAUGUC